AAUCUUCCUAAAAACGAGGACCCGGAGAUGGAUCCGUCCCUAGAUAAUGAAGUGUUGGCUCACUCAGCAAGGAUCUCCAAACUCCCACAGCUUGCCAAGUAGAAACUAAACAGUCACCAACACAUUUUGACAUGAGCACAAGGGCAUCCAGCUCGGACUCGUCAUGGGAGCUCCUGGAAAGUGAGCUGGACUCUAUUACCUGUGAGUACUGCCAGCAGCACAGGAAGCCCCCAGAGACCAGCUAGUCAACAAUACAGACCCAGAGGAGUUGUUUUUGUUACGAAGUGGCCUGGAGGAUGGCUGACUGUCUGUCGGAGGGGGAGCCUGUGUUCUGCGUGAUCCAGGAGAACUUAAAGGUUGAUGUGGGCCCUCACCUGCCCUUCAAAACGGCUGCGAAGAAGCGGGCCGAGCAAAGGUCUGGACUGCCAAGAAGAAGACCCAUUCGCCGAAAUGGAAAUCAUUGAUUCUCCAGACACUCUGCCCCUUUUAUGGAGAAGAACAAGGACAGAUGGGUUGAACCUGAUCCAGCUGGGAUGCUUCUGCUGCAGUGACACCCGGGAAUUGUCUGGACCACAAGCCUCACCUGCAUGCCCCUCCCUGACUGGACUUGAAUGAACCCCAACCAAAACCAAAUUUGGAGCACACGACGGGCCAGAGACACCUCCACAUGAAGCGAUCUGCAACCUGCUGCAGAGGAUCCAGAGCUAGAUCACCUAGCAACAGACCACCAUUCCACCCCCUUGCCUGGCGUCGCAGAUGGAGACUGGAAGACAUCUCUGGAUAAGCACUGUUCAGCUACCUGAGCCAUAUCAUUCAACACUCGUAUGCCUGUGUGGUUUCUUUUUCAUUAAAAUACUAU
rnacentral:lncRNA from 13 species